rnacentral:rRNA from 1 species
GAUUAACGCUAGCGGCAGGCCUAAUACAUGCAAGUCGAACGGUAACAGGUCCAGCAAUGGAUGCUGACGAGUGGCGCACGGGUGCGUAACACGUAUGCAACCUACCUAAGACCGGGGAAUAGCCCCGAGAAAUCGGGGAUUAAUACCCCAUAUUAUUACGGUGAGGCAUCUCAUUGUAAUGAAAGCUCCGGCAGUCUUAGAUGGGCAUGCGCGACAUUAGCUAGUUGGUGAGGUAACGGCUCACCAAGGCUUCGAUGUCUAGGGGUUCUGAGAGGAUUCACCCCCACACUGGUACUGAGACACGGACCAGACUCCUACGGGUGGCAG